AUAAUGACUCUCGGCAACGGAUAUCUCGGCUCUCGCAUCGAUGAAGAACGCAGCGAAAUGCGAUACCUGGUGUGAAUUGCAGAAUCCCGUGAAUCAUCGAGUCUUUGAACGCAAGUUGCGCCCGAGGCCUUUUGGCCGAGGGCACGCCUGCCUGGGCGUCACG
rnacentral:rRNA from 1 species